GCGUGAGUGAAGAAGGCCCUAGGGUUGUAAAACUCUUUCGGCGGGGAAGAUGAUGACGGUACCCGCAGAAGAAGCCCCGGCUAACUUCGUGCCAGCAGCCGCGGUAAUACGAAGGGGGCUAGCGUUGUUCGGAAUUACUGGGCGUAAAGGGCGUGUAGGCGGCUCACUAAGUCACGUGUGAAAGCCCCGGGCUUAACCCGGGAAUUGCGCGUGAGACUGGUGAGCUAGAAUCCGGGAGAGGGUAGUGGAAUUCCCAGUGUAGAGGUGAAAUUCGU
rnacentral:rRNA from 1 species